GUUAAGCGACUAAGCGUACACGGUGGAUGCCCUGGCAGUCAGAGGCGAUGAAGGGCGUGCUAAUCUGCGAUAAGCGCCGGUAAGGUGAUAUGAACCGUUAUAACCGGCGAUACCCGAAUGGGGAAACCCAGUGUGAUUCGUCACACUAUCAUUAACUGAAUCCAUAGGUUAAUGAGGCGAACCGGGGGAACUGAAACAUCUAAGUACCCCGAGGAAAAGAAAUCAACCGAGAUUCCCCCAGUAGCGGCGAGCGAACGGGGAGGAGCCCAGAGCCUGAAUCAGCAUGUGUGUUAGUGGAAGCGUCUGGAAAGGCGCGCGAUACAGGGUGACAGCCCCGUACACAAAAGCGCAUGUGCUGUGAGCUCGAUGAGUAGGGCGGGACACGUGGUAUCCUGUCUGAAUAUGGGGGGACCAUCCUCCAAGGCUAAAUACUCCUGACUGACCGAUAGUGAACCAGUACCGUGAGGGAAAGGCGAAAAGAACCCCGGCGAGGGGAGUGAAAAAGAACCUGAAACCGUGUACGUACAAGCAGUGGGAGCACCCUUUUGGGUGUGACUGCGUACCUUUUGUAUAAUGGGUCAGCGACUUAUAUUCUGUAGCAAGGUUAACCGAAUAGGGGAGCCGGAGGGAAACCGAGUCUUAAUUGGGCGUUAAGUUGCAGGGUAUAGACCCGAAACCCGGUGAUCUAGCCAUGGGCAGGUUGAAGGUUGGGUAAC
rnacentral:rRNA from 1 species